CAAAUAAUCUAGCUAGAUCGUCACACCAAUUAAAAUAUUACAAUCUCAUAAAAAGCAAACCAUUACGACGUUACAAAGUUCAUAACCAACAUGACUGGAGGAAAAACAACAUGACUAGUGUAAAAUAUUCAUAACCUCGUCAACUUGCUCAACUUCCUUAUCUGCAGUACUCUCAUCAAUAGCUAUAGGAGCUGUUGAGGAAGCUCCUAAGUCGACCGAAAGCUCGGGAUUUGGAGUCGACAUAAUCUAAAACAAAAAUAUAAAUAGAUAAUUCAGCCAUUAUAAACAAACAAUCAAAUUAAAAAAACAACAACUAUUGAUUUGUAUAACGACAUAAACAUAAAAAAGAAUCAAUUCAAAGUUAUCAUAUUUCUCAAUAGGUAACCACUAAAGAACCAAAUUUUGAUAGACUAGAAACAGAUUUUUUGAGGUGAAUAAAAACACAAUCCUAAGAUAACUAAACAUAUAUACAUGUCUAACAUAGGAUGCUUUGAUCAACUAUCAAUCAACCUCUGCUUCUCUUUUGCCAAAUGGAAGUGACUAGUUCUGAUGAAACACUCUGAGCAUUUUUUUUAUAAGAUUUCGUACACGGCAUCUCAUCCAACAACUCACAAUGUAUAUGUAUGUUCUGAAGGUCACAACUUAGUUGGGUUCAGACAUUAUUGCCAUGCUUUUUAUAUGGCUUCAAAGGGAAGUUGGUGCUUUUCUAUUUAUAUAAAUGGUCAUGUAGAAAGAAUGUGAUAUGAUUUCAAGCAAAUCAUAUCUACUACCUAACCUAACUAGCCAUAAGCCCAUAACUAUAUUCACAGAACAUAGCUCUAAUUCUAUUAUUUCCGAUUAUACCCAAAUUUUCCAAUAUUGCAGAACUUCUGCAUAUGAUAGAAAAGCCUGAAUGCCAUUUCAAAGGGUUGGAAUAUUUUUUUUGGGUGUGGAUGAUUAUCGGCUGAUCUAGUUCUACUACAUAUCUCCCAUUCUUGUUUGAAUAUAAAUGCCUAUGACUAUGUAAAGAAUUGUGAUUGUCGCCUCAAUACCAGAA
rnacentral:lncRNA from 1 species